UACGUAGGGGGCAAGCGUUGUCCGGAAUCAUUGGGCGUAAAGAGCGCGUAGGCGGCCCUGUAAGUCCGCUGUGAAAGUCAAGGGCUCAACCCUUGAAUGCCGGUGGAUACUGCAGGGCUAGAGUCCGGAAGAGGCGAGUGGAAUUCCUGGUGUAGCGGUGAAAUGCGCAGAUAUCAGGAGGAACACCAACGGCGAAGGCAGCUCGCUGGGACGGUACUGACGCUGAGACGCGAAAGCGUGGGGAGCGAACAGG
rnacentral:rRNA from 1 species